rnacentral:rRNA from 1 species
GGGGGGGGGGGGCGGGGGGCGUGGCGGGUGGAGGGGGGGGGGGGGCGGGGGGGCUGGCGGGGGGCGGGGGGGGGACGCGGGGGGAUAUGCCUCUGGGUACGGCAUAGCCUCGGGGAGCUGGGGGUAAUACCGUAUGUGCCCUUUGGGGGAAAGAUUUAUCGCCAGGAGAUUAGCCCGCGUUGGAUUAGGUAGUUGGUGGGGUAAUGGCCUACCAAGCCGACGAUCCAUAGCUGGUUUGAGAGGCUGAUCAGCCACACUGGGACUGCGACACGGCCCAGACUCCUACGGGAGGCAGCAGUGGGGAAUCUUAGACAAUGGGGGCAACCCUGAUCUAGCCAUGCCGCGUGAGUGAUGAAGGCCUUAGGGUUGUAAAGCUCUUUCAGCUGGGAAGAUAAUGACGGUACCAGCAGAAGAAGCCCCGGCUAACUCCGUG